GACGAACGCUGGCGGCGUGCCUAAUACAUGCAAGUAGAACGCUGAAGGAGGAGCUUGCUUCUCUGGAUGAGUUGCGAACGGGUGAGUAACGCGUAGGUAACCUGCCUGGUAGCGGGGGAUAACUAUUGGAAACGAUAGCUAAUACCGCAUAAUAGUAGAUGUUGCAUGACAUUUACUUAAAAGGUGCAAUUGCAUCACUACCAGAUGGACCUGCGUUGUAUUAGCUAGUUGGUGGGGUAACGGCUCACCAAGGCGACGAUACAUAGCCGACCUGAGAGGGUGAUAGGCCACACUGGGACGGAGACACGGCCCAGACUCCUACGGGAGGCAGCAGUAGGGAAUCUUCGGCAAUAGACGAAAGUCUGACCGAGCAACGCCGCGUGAGUGAAGAAGGUUUUCGGAUCGUAAAGCUCUGUUGUAAGAGAAGAACGAGUGUGGGAGUGGAAAGUUCACACUGUGACGGUAUCUUACCAGAAAGGGACGGCUAACUACGUG
rnacentral:rRNA from 1 species